GAUGAACGCUGGCGGCGUGCCUAAUACAUGCAAGUCGAACGCUGAAGGCGGAGCUUGCUCUGCUGGACGAGUUGCGAACGGGUGAGUAACGCGUAGGUAACCUGCCUUGUAGCGGGGGAUAACUAUUGGAAACGAUAGCUAAUACCGCAUGACAACAGUUAUUGCAUGGUAACUGGUUAAGAGGGGCAACUGCUCGACUACCAGAUGGACCUGCGUCGUAUUAGCGAGUUGGUGGGGUAACGGCUCACCAAGGCGAGGAUAUAUAGCCGACGUGAGAGGGUGAUCGGCCACACUGGGACGGUGACACGGCACAUAGGCCUACAGGAGGGAGCAGGAGGGAAUCGUGGGGAAUGGGCGGAAGACUGACCGAGAAGCGCCGCGGGAGUGAAGAAGGAUGUCGGGUCGGAAAGCUCGGUCGUCGGGGAAGAACGAGCGUGAGACUGGAAAGUUGCCACUGUGACGGUACCUGACUAGAAAGCGACGGCUAACUACGUG
rnacentral:rRNA from 1 species